GGAUGCGAUCAUACCAGCACUAAAGCACCGGAUCCCAUCAGAAUUCCGAAGUUAAGCGUUCUUGGGCGAGAGUGGUAUUAGGAUGGGUGACCUCCUGGGAAGUCCUCGUGUUGCAUUCC
rnacentral:rRNA from 16 species